AUUGAACGCUGGCGGCAUGCUUUACACAUGCAAGUCGAACGGCAGCGCGGGCUUCGGCCUGGCGGCGAGUGGCGAACGGGUGAGUAAUGCAUCGGAACGUGCCCAGUAGUGGGGGAUAGCCCGGCGAAAGCCGGAUUAAUACCGCAUACGACCUGAGGAUGAAAGCGGGGGACCGAAAGGCCUCGCGCUAUUGGAGCGGCCGGUGUCGGAUUAGCUAGUUGGUGGGGUAAAGGCUUACCAAGGCGACGAUCCGUAGCUGGUCUGAGAGGACGACCAGCCACACUGGGACUGAGACACGGCCCAGACUCCUACGGGAGGCAGCAGUGGGGAAUUUUGGACAAUGGGGGCAACCCUGAUCCAGCCAUGCCGCGUGCGGGAAGAAGGCCUUCGGGUUGUAAACCGCUUUUGUUCGGGAAGAAAUCCUCUGGGCUAAUACCCCGGGGGGAUGACGGUACCGGAAGAAUAAGCACCGGCUAACUACGUG
rnacentral:rRNA from 1 species